UGACAGUCCUGCGGGCGCGGGCGGAGGUGUCAUGGCCGCACGGCGGUGCAGGAGGCCCUGCGCGCUUCCCCCCCUUUUGGCGGCGGCUCGCGGUGCCCCUCAAGGCGACUCGGCCUCGAAGGCUCAGCCCGGCGUGGGGGGCGGCAGCGAAUCCCAGUGUCUUGGCGGUUCCCUUAUACGAGAGGUGUAGGAAACCCGGUGCCUGCCGUAUUAAUUAAUGCGUGUGGUCAUUAAUCUUCAGUCCAAAGGGCUCCAAUCUUUCACUUUACAGAAUUGCAACGGUUGGGAGAGACCUCGAGAUCGUCAAGUCCAACCCCCUUACUAAAGCGGUUACCCUACAACAGGUCACACAGCCUCAUAAGGACAGAAACAAGAAUAUCUUUCAAGAGGCUGUGUGUUACAUUACUGUAUGGGAACUGCUGAGUCAUGGCCUGAACCACUGAUUGAUCACCUGUGAAAAGGACUGGAUCAGCCCUGGGAGCACAGGGUUUCCAAGAAGGCAAUGUAAAGGAUAUCCAACGUCAACAAGUGCUUUUGUUGCCAAUGCCUACUGCAGAGGAGGGUGAGGAGGCUGCCAAGAAGAGUUUCAGAAUGGAUGAAAGCCCUACACCAAACAAAGGUCUAAAGGCUGUGGUCGAGAGCAGGCAUGGACUGACCAACUAUCCACCAUUUUUGCCUCCAAAUAUUUUCCAAGUUUUAACCCUUCAUGAGAGGCUGUUCUUGUCUUGCUCAGGUGAUGUGUCUCACCUGGAAGCUGUCCUGAAAGGAUGAGAAAUCUUGUCAUUCUUUCUUCCUACGCUGAACUAACAAUCAAGACACGUGAGCUUUGCAUGUUACAUGCUUUACUUUAGGGUCUCUUGGUUCUCUGGUACUGGUAUCACUAGUACUGACUUCUGACUUACCUGGAUCAUGAAAAGCUUCCUUUUGAUUUACUGAGCACAAAAAUCUAAAAAUAAAAUCCUGUUUCCUCAACUAGUGAUAGCCAGCGUUGGACUUCGCAAUUCAGAAAACUUCAUGGAAUGGUUAUAGGUGCAAAUAUUUUCUGAAGACAAUUUCAUCUGCUAUAUGUAAAGCUUUGAUUUAACCAAAAAUAUCAAAUAUUUCAAAUGAAAUAACAGGCUCCUGUUUUUCUAAAUCCUUGCAACAAAACUAAAUGUACCACUACAACAGUUCUUACAUUUCAGAUUUCACACACAUGGUCUCAAAGUCCACUUCUGAGCAUCAUUUAUUUCCCUGCUAUUUCAGUGUACUGAUGAUCUCCGAGACACUGUCUCACAAUUUGUGGUGUUGAAUUUUAUUUUUGUAUUAAUAAGCCAAGAAAGUUUUGAAUGUCAUUUGUCUAAUUUUCCAUGUAUGUUUUCUGCCUCGUUUGUAUCUAGUGCAAGCUUCCAAUUUAUUUGGGGUGAGGAAAAAAAAUAAAAACAUGGAAAAAGUUUGUUUUAAAUCAGUCUUAAAAUACCUCUUCUUCCUUCUCACUGUAUUCUGUUUAAGAGCCAUUUAAAAAACGUGGACUAAUGUGAGUAAUCAUCAUAAAUCUUUCUCUUUUCUUCCGUUUUUGGGGCAGUAUAGAAUGUAGCUCUUGUAUGAGUAGCUAAUUUACUUUCAGCACCAUCAGAGUGAGUUCAUAAACACUUCUUGAUUGUUCAGGUGUAACGUUCAGAUAAGAGCAGGUCUGUUGCAGUUCAGCAUCUUUCUGGCUAGAGUGACUUUUCAUGGAAAAUGGUGGUACUCUGAGAAGAAGGGAAUUUUUUUUUCUCUACUAGAUGUGAGAGUAAAAUAAUAAUGGUAUCAAUAAGAAGGUAGUAAGAAAAUUGGUAUUAGCUCUAGGUAUUUUCCAGCUAUAACAUCAUGAACCACCAUAGAAUUUUAUGUAAUGGUUAAAGAUUAUGUUAAAUUAUUUUAAUAAACAAAUUAAAUGAUACAUAAAACAUAGAACAACAGGUAUAAUUAAACUGUAUCAAAGACUUGAUGUUCACAGUCAGCUGGCUCAUGAACAUGCUGAGCUCAAAAAGCAAGGGAGAAUUCAUGAAAUUAAUACUUAUGCACAAAAUCCCUUGUAUCAUCCUUUUACAGAAUUAAUUGAUAACUUCUCACAAAGCAGACCAUUUAGAGUCUCCUGAUGUUCUGUUCUGUGACUAUCCUGUGGCUGUGACAGCUGAGAAGCACAGGUUCUCCCUGUUUUCUGGGUGCACGCUGCAUAUGCUGCAUUAUGACACACUGCAGAUGUGGUCACGUGGGCUUUGUGAAGCUGCUCUCCUGCCUUGGCUACACGGAGUGACUCAGAUAUUGUGAUGGUGCAUGCAACUGGUCUAGAUUUGCUUCAGUAGCAUUAGCACAUGUUAAUAAGACAUCUCAGCCCUGCUAGACAGUUACGAAAAGGCAGAGUAACAAAGGGUACAGGCUGAAUGAGGAGCAAAACCUUUAGCAGUUUUUGCUUUUUACAUCUAAUUGAUACAUAUUGCAAUACAUUUAUCAUUAUUCUCAUUAUUUGCCCCCUGCACUGCAGUACUUAAAAUACUGAGCUAUGGUUUUGUUUGGUGUCUCACCUUAUUUAUACUUUAAUCUUGUUUAAAAUCCUUGGGGAAAAAAAGAAUAAUCCAACAAAAUUAGAAUAUUCCUUGAAUUGCUGUCACAAUGCUAGAGAAAAAUACCUAAUAAUGGGAUAAACUACGUUCAGCAGUAGCAUAAAAAAUAGAUUAUUGCCUCAAGCACUGAAUACCAACUCCUUAGCUAGAGUGCACAGAGCAGUACUGCUGUAGUACUGCAAAGUAGUACAGGCUAAGCUCUGUCAAGUAACUGCAGCUGAGAAGCCAGCCUGGCUGAUUGCUCUGCCUGUUCUGUACGUGGACCAGAUGCACGCUGUUCAGCUCAUGAAUUAGAAGAGGCUGAACUCAGCCUUGAUUAUGUUCAUACCACUGUACAGAAAGAAUCAGAUAAACCAGUUAAAAAUUAUAAUAACACAAGAGAAACAACAGCAAAACCCGAGGGGCAAAAGACUUUUUCCUUAGGGAUUCAGUGAGAGAUACAACUCAAGCAAUUAAACAUUAAAAUAAAUAAUUCUACAGAAUACAUUAUUCUAUUAUUUAGAUGUGGUAAAAGAAAGUAAGUACAAAAGUUGAUGAAAGCACUAUCUCUUCUGCAAGUUUCUUGCUUAGCACGUUAAGUCAACUUGUGACCAAUAUUUUACUUUUGAACAUACAGAGGCAAGGCUUUUAUGUCCUAAGCAUAUAAGCAUACUCUUACAGCUUGGCAAGGCAGAAAAGGAUUUUGAAAGUACCUUAAUGUUGUGACAUGCAUGUCACAUAU
rnacentral:lncRNA from 1 species